rnacentral:rRNA from 1 species
CCGCGCGAAGGUAGCGUAAUCACUUGUUUUUUAAAUAAAGACUUGUAUGAACGGCCACACGAGGACUUAACUGUCUCCUUUGUCCAAUCAGUGAAACUGAUCUCCUCGUGCAGAAGCGAGGAUUCCACCAUAAGACGAGAAGACCCUAUGGAGCUUUAAACUUUUAUUAACUUUUUUCUUUACCCCUCCAAGGAGUUAACAACUAAUUUAAUCUUUUUAAUAAAAGUUUUGGGUUGGGGCGACCAUGGAGAAAAAAAAAUCCUCCCUGAUGACAACCUAACUAAGAGCCACAGCUCCAAGUAUUAAGACACUUAACUCCUAUUGACCCAUUUUAUGAUCAACGAACCAAGUUACCCUAGGGAUAACAGCGCAAUCCAUUUCAAGAGUCCCUAUCGACAAAUGGGUU